CGAGAGCUCAAGAUUCCCAUACGCUGGGCACCAUGCAGACAGCGAGUGAAGUUGGCUCCUGCAGGGAGGACUUGCUGUUUGUUGGCUUCAGCCCUGCCUGGGGAGGAGUUGGCCUUGCUCCUGAAGCUCUCCAAAGGGAUGCAGAAAAGCUGCUCACCAAUCUCACCAUUUGUGAAUGAGGACCACAACCCAUUCAUCUGUGCAUGAGGGAAGGCAUGGGAUUUUGGAUCUGUUUGUGAGAUGACACUCACAAUGUUGAGAUGACACCAUGAUACAAAUGUAAGUUCAAGUCAGAUGGCAGCUCUGGAGGACGGUAGCACAGCACUGCAAUAGGCUAAGGGCUGGUGACCGAUGCGUGAAAGUUUGACUGACGAGGGAGGCAAGUGCAAAACAAGUUGGAGAAGAAAUGAAGAAACUCCUCAUGCUGAGGAUGUAAGAUGGGGAGCAGAGUAAAUGAAGCUAGAUUAUUACAUAGUCCAAAAAUAUUCCUCUUUGUCACAUCUUCUACUUAUUGAAGGCAAUAGUAUGUUCUCCAGGCUAUUAAAUGAAAAAUAAGAGAUAAAAUGUCAGAAAGGCAACUGAGUUAUCUGUGGAUGGAUGCUACUGCCAUCUCUUAAAGAAAAAAUGGAUGCUUAAUGAGAAUUAUAAAAAUUAUAAGACUCUGGCUAACCACAGUCUCCUUUAACCUGAGCACAUCUGCUGGAACAAGAGCAUGACAUUCAAAAUCUUCCUGUCUCCUGGAAAAUCUGUGGAGUCGGAGGCAGUAUCUUGGAAAGCUUG